rnacentral:rRNA from 1 species
AACAUACCCCAAAGUGAGGCAUAAGCACCAGAAAUGGUGUCUAAUACCGCAUGUGAUCUUCGGAUUAAAGCUUUACGCGCUUUGGGAAUGGCCUGCGUAUGAUUAGUUUGUUGGUGAGGUAAUGGCUCACCAAGACUACGAUCAUUAGCUGGUCUGAGAGGAUGAUCAGCCAGACUGGGACUGAGAACGGCCCAGACUCCUACGGGAGGCAGCAGUAGGGAAUUUUCCACAAUGGGCGAAAGCCUGAUGGAGCAACGCCGCGUGCAG